rnacentral:rRNA from 1 species
UACGAACGCUGGCGGCAGGCCUAACACAUGCAAGUCGAGCGAGGACUUCGGUUCUAGCGGCGGACGGGUGAGUAACGCGUGGGAAUGUGCCCUUCUCUACGGAAUAGCCCUGGGAAACUGGGAGUAAUACCGUAUACGCCCUAUUGGGGAAAGAUUUAUCGGAGAAGGAUCAGCCCGCGUUGGAUUAGGUAGUUGGUGGGGUAAUGGCCUACCAAGCCGACGAUCCAUAGCUGGUUUGAGAGGAUGAUCAGCCACACUGGGACUGAGACACGGCCCAGACUCCUACGGGAGGCAGCAGUGGGGAAUCUUAGACAAUGGGGGCAACCCUGAUCUAGCCAUGCCGCGUGAGUGAUGAAGGCCUUAGGGUUGUAAAGCUCUUUCAGCUGGGAAGAUAAUGACGGUACCAGCAGAAGAAGCCCCGGCUAACUCCGUG